rnacentral:lncRNA from 1 species
AACCUCAAACCCUGUGGCAUACACUCAAAAAUUAAACGGUUAAACAUUCAAGGCAUUGUUUAUACAUUCAUAUACAUAUUAAACCCAUGGGCAAAAACCUAAUGAAAUUCAUCCAUCAUACCUCAUACAUUCAGAUGAUCCAAAUUAAGAGCAUAAAGGUAAUGGGAAUAAGGGCAAACCUGAUUGGAGAGCUUGAUUGAUGUGAGGCAGAGGUGAUUCUAUGUAGUUGAGUUCCCUUCAGGGUUUGGAG